rnacentral:rRNA from 1 species
CAGCCGCCGCGGUAAUACGUAGGGUGCGAGCGUUAAUCGGAUUUACUGGGCGUAAAGCGUGCGCAGGCGGCCCGUUAAGACAGGUGUGAAAUCCCUGGGCUCAACCUAGGAAUUGCGCUUGUGACUGGCGGGCUCGAGUACGGUAGAGGGGGGUGGAAUUCCUGGUGUAGCAGUGAAAUGCGUAGAGAUCAGGAGGAACACCGAUGGCGAAGGCAGCCCCCUGGGCUGGUACUGACGCUCAUGCACGAAAGCGUGGGGAGCAAACAGGAUUAGAUACCCUGGUAGUCGACGCCCUAAACGAUGGGUACUAGCCGUUUGGUGCGCGAUAGCGCUGAGUGGCGAAGCUAACGCGUGAAGUCCCCCGCCUGGGGAGUACGGCCGCAAGGUUGAAACUUAAAGGAAUUGGCGGG